CCCUUAGAUGUCCUGGGCCGCACGCGCGUUACACUGAUGCAUUCAACGAGCUUAUAACCUUGGCCGAGAGGCCUGGGCAAUCUUGUUAACGUGCAUCGUGAUAGGGAUAGCUUAUUGAAAUUAUUAAUCUUGAACGAGGAAUUCCUAGUAAACGCAGAUCAUCAAUCUGCAUUGAUUACGUCCCUGCCCUUUGUACACACCGCCCGUCGCACCUACCGAUUGGAUGGUCCGGUGAAGCCUCGGGAUUGUGGUUCUUGCCGCUUUAUUGUGGCGUGACCGCGAGAACUUGUCUAAACCUUAUCAUCUAGAGGAAGGUGAAGUCGUAACA
rnacentral:rRNA from 1 species